rnacentral:lncRNA from 1 species
UUAAACCUGUUACACAAGUCACUACUAGAGUGGAUGUAGCAGUGGUCCUUAUGGACAAGUAGCAGUAAACAAUAUUUAUUUUCCAGAGUGAUAGCUGUAUAGCAUGUACCAGGAAUCUUGCUAAAUUUUUUUCAAGUAAGGGCAAUAUAUCUAGUUUAACAGCCAUAUUUGCAGUCCCUACCUGAUGGAGUUGUCGAUAAUCAACUGUUAUACUUCAUUAUUCAUCUGUCUUCUGCACUUGCCAGAUAUGAUAUUUAAAAGAGAUAUGAUAGGAACCAUCACCCAUGACGACUUUUACGUCAUUGUCGCUGGCACUAAUUUCCCUAGGGAUAUUAUCCUGUUAUUUAUUCACUAGUUUCUUUGGCAGAGAUAACCAUAAAGGCCAUUUAGCCUUCCCAACCACAGUGGCCUUCACUCUUUAUGUCAGGGAACCAAUGUAAAAAGUCGGUGAACAUUUAAGUAUACCAAUCUCAUUACCACAUUCUUGUAUUGAAGAGAUAAUCUCAGAACGAGUUCAGGAACCCACUGGACAUACUGAAAGUCAGGGUUUAGCCUAGUUAAUUAAUGAAAACUCCAUUAGUCAUCUGAUCUCCACUAGUCCACACUUUAACUGAAGGGUCACAAUAUUUAUUAAAAUCUUCCCUAAGGAGCAUCAAUUCAGAACUACCAUCACAUAAACCCUGGAAAGUCUGACCGUUUCGUUUCUCCCACUAUAAAAUUUCUUAGGGGUAUCUGGCUGUCUCUUCAUUCAAGGCAUUCUGAGUUUAUAAACUGGCUCAAGUCUGGAAAUUGAUUAACUGGCUGAGAUUGCCUUUUGCCAGGAUCCAAUGGAAUCUCUCUUUCAUUUGUUUGACAAUUGUUCUGCUGAUUUGUUCAGCUCAAACAAAUACUCAUUGCUCUCUUAUCUAUAUCAUUCCUGAAAAACUAUGAUUGAUAAGCCAGUACCACAGGUCCAUAUUCAUGCCACCAUACAAUUUGUUUUGCCUAUGCUCAUCACUAUGAUUAGGCCAUUAUGCACAUUGAUUUGUGUAUGCUGCCCACUGAGUAACUACAAUCGACUUGCCUUUGUUGAUUCAGUGCUUUACCUAGCCUCUAGUACUUCUGGACACAAUUAAACCCAUUGUCUAUAAUUCACACAACUGACCAGCAAUGUCUCCAACCCUAAGUUCUGCCACAAGGAAAACAUUGACAACAAAACUCUUUAAAUGUGUUUGUGCCCCUCUCACCAUUUUGUACGUCUUAGGAUUCAUAAAGGGCAUGUCUCCUGGGCAUUUCAAUUAUGGAGGCUUACAUUUUACUUAGAAUACCAACUCUAAUUUUACAAAUUUCAGGACCCUUGAAACUCCUUCAUCAACACUAAGUCAGGGAAUAUCAAGCACCCUCUAACUCCUCUUUGUAAUCUUUUGAUAAGUCAUUCGGCCAAUCAUUAAAACAAACUUCUGACAUUUUUUAAACUGUGUAGGCUUCCGUAUUAAACUUGAAGUCUCCACUCAAUGGGCCUAUAUCAAUAAUCUCAUCAUAAUCCAGUUCCAUGUUCCUUUCACCAUUAUCCCACAGCCUUAAAGUUUGUUCCCACACAUAUUCCCUAGGCUUCUAAUUUAUUAUGCUUGAAAAAACUAGCAAACUGAGUAAGAUCUUUAGCAUAUUGGAUCUCCUCUUAGACUACUCUUUCUACCUCCCCUCUAGGAGUCUACUAUGGUUUAGGUCUGCUUGUACAUCUAGGAGAAACUAUCCGUUAUCCCUGAGGGAUAUUGUGGAUAUUACCUCCCAUUUCCUUCAGAGACAGUCACUACUAGGUGUGGCACUGCAACUCAUUUGCUCUCAGAACCCUAAGGAGAGGCUGUCAUGCUGAGAGAUGACCUGGGCACUGUCCUUCAAAUGAGACAAGCCCACACCAUGGACUGUGCUCCAGUAAGACCUGAAAGCAAGGUGUGUAUUUGUGCAUGUGUGUGUGUGUGUGUGUGUGUGUGUGUGUGUGUGUGUGUGUGAAUGAGUGUGAUCCCAUUUUGACAUUUACUUACUUAUUGCUGUUUAUGAAUAAAUUAACUGUUGUUACCUAACUUCCUAGUCCGAGGCUCCCUUCUUGCCUCUCUCUUCUAUCCCUAUUCAUAAUAGUUUCACGACAUCUCUCUCUCUCUCUCUCUCUCUCUCUCUCUCUCUCUCUCUCUCUCUCUCUCUCUGUGUGUGUGUGUGUGUGUGUGUAUGUAUGUAUGUGUGUGUGUCUCUGUUUCACUGUGUGUCUGUCUGUCUAUAUCUGUAUGAGAAAAGUAGAUUUAUUAGAUGUUGUACAGUCCAGCUAAUCCAACAAAGGCUGUCUAUGAAUGGAAAGUCAUUGUAGUUACUUAGUCCACAAGAUUGUACAUAUCAGUUAGAAUUUAAUAUACCAUGCAAUCCAAAAGAAUUAUGUCCUAAUGUCUCUGAAGAAAUGGAUAGUUUCCUUCCUAUGUCCUUACACAGGCUUCCAACAGAAUUGUGGUCCAGAUUAAGGUUGUGUCUUCCCCCAUCAAGAUCUUAAAGAUACAUGUCUUUCUGCCUCAAGCUCCAGAUCAAAGGUGUUUAUUUUCCUACCACAAUGGUCCUGACUAGAAGACAAUUCACCCACGUAAAAUCAAGCUAAAAAUUUCACACAGCUAAGUGUUCUAUCUUUAGAUUUUACUUAAUUACAGAAGCAGUCAAGUUGACAAUGAGCAAUAGUCAUCCACUUGACUAUUAGGAAGUAACGCCAGUGUAGAUUAUGAGUUUUACAUUUUAUUUUUAAUUUAUCAUUAUUUCUACCAUUAAUGUCAGAAUUAAAUGAUAAAAGUAAAUUAUUUUUCUAAUUUAAUUUUUAACAUCCAGAACACAUAAAGAACUCAAAAUAUAAGAAAUCAACAAAACAAAAAUAAAUGCCCCAUUCAAAGCACAGGUCUAGGAUCUUCACAGAGAGUUCACAGAAGAAAAAUGGGAGGAUUUAUGUUAAGUCUUAUUGCAUCAUGUUGUGGAAGGUUUGGUUGAUAUUUCUGGGAUACCUGUACUUUUUUCAAGGAAAAUGGAGGAGGAGUGGAUCUGGGGAAAGGGGAGUGAGAGGGUGAACUUGGCAGAGUUGAAGGAGAGGAGGCUGUUGUUGGAAUGUAUUACAUGAAAGAAGAGUAAUAAAAAGAAUAGAGAUAAAAGAAGAAGGAAAAUAAUAUAUUCCUCAAAAAA